UCGAGAAUUCCGGCGUCUCGCUGUCUCCAAGGCAACCCGUAGCCAGGAGAAGGCUCGGAGACUUCUGGGUAUUGUGGUAUCAAGAAACCCGCGAGUGGGAGGCGCGUUUGUUAGGAGACUGGAGUGCGGUAAAACGCCUGCGGCCGGGGCGACGCGGCGAUUGACUCCUGGCACACACCCAGUUGAGUCCCCUAGCGGAUAACCAGAUAACAUCCUGGAUUAAUCCCGAGCUUUUUCCUCUCCCGAGACGUCCCUGUCACCAGCCGCCUGCACUCAGCAUCAGCCAGAUUGAUUUCAGUCUAACAUAUGUGCAUUCACCAGUGAAGCUGUCCUGGCCAAAACACCUGGCACCAGCGUCUACCUGGGCAUCAACCAUCAUCCCGUCGACUCCCUUAGGCUCCAGUACAGUGCCCUCUGCCAGCAGGAAGUAGUUAAAGAGAGAAAUCUUCUCCCCUUUUCAUAAUAAUAAUCAUAAGAUGGGAUAUGAAAGGGUUUGGGCCCAGACAGGACACUGUAGCCAGGAAAACCUCAACUGGAAUCAGGAAGCCCUAUCUCCCCUGCCCCUAGGAAGUUACCUGUGACACCAUCUUCCCGCCCCUGAAAAUUUACAUAUGGCGCCAAACCUAGGACCAAUGGGCUACCUGUGUAUCCCUAAUGCCCGCCUUAGGUUCCACCCCAAACUGAGGCUAUUUACAUGCCCCCACGCCACGUGUCCGCCAGAGAGAUCACCGGACGCCAGCAAUGGGGGUGCCAGUCAUCUCUCUGUGUUCUCAGAAUAAAGGCCGCUUUUUAUUUUAUA